GCUGGGCGUGGUGGCUUACGCCUGUAAUCCCAGCAGUUUGGGAGGCUGAGGCAGGUUGAUCACUUGAGGUCAGGAAUUUGAGACCAGCCUGGCCAACAUAGUGAAACCCUGUCUCUA
rnacentral:SRP_RNA from 2 species